UUCGUAGGGGUACCUGGCGAAGGAUCCUUAA
rnacentral:rRNA from 1 species